rnacentral:rRNA from 1 species
UGGGGAAUAUUGCACAAUGGGCGCAAGCCUGAUGCAGCCAUGCCGCGUGUGUGAAGAAGGCCUUCGGGUUGUAAAGCACUUUCAGCGAGGAGGAAGGUGGUGAGCUUAAUACGCUCAUCAAUUGACGUUACUCGCAGAAGAAGCACCGGCUAACUCCGUGCCAGCAGCCGCGGUAAUACGGAGGGUGCAAGCGUUAAUCGGAAUUACUGGGCGUAAAGCGCACGCAGGCGGUUUGUUAAGUCAGAUGUGAAAUCCCCGGGCUCAACCUGGGAACUGCAUUUGAAACUGGCAAGCUAGAGUCUCGUAGAGGGGGGUAGAAUUCCAGGUGUAGCGGUGAAAUGCGUAGAGAUCUGGAGGAAUACCGGUGGCGAAGGCGGCCCCCCUGGACGAAGACUGACGCUCAGGUGCGAAAGCGUGGGGCAGCAAACAGGAUUAGAUACCCUGGUAGUCCACGCUGUAAACGAUGUCGAUUUGGAGGUUGUGCCCCUUGAGGCGUGGCUUCCGGAGCUAACGCGUUAAA